rnacentral:rRNA from 1 species
UUCUCGUAUCGAUGAAGAACGCAGCGAAACGCGAUAUUUCUUGUGAAUUGCAGAAGUGAAUCAUCAG